CACGUAGGGCGCGAGCGUUGUCCGGAAUUAUUGGGCGUAAAGAGCUCGUAGGCGGCCUGUUGCGUCCGCUGUGAAAGCCCGGGGCUUAACCCCGGGUCUGCAGUGGAUACGGGCAGGCUAGAGGUAGGUAGGGGAGAAUGGAAUUCCCGGUGUAGCGGUGAAAUGCGCAGAUAUCGGGAGGAACACCGGUGGCGAAGGCGGGACUCUGGGCCGAUACUGACGCUGAGGAGCGAAAGCGUGGGGAGCAAACAGG
rnacentral:rRNA from 1 species